GUCACGUUCAUGAUGAAAUCAUAGAGGCAAAGGGAAAAACAUGUUUUUCCUCAUUGUUUUUAUCCAGGAUAGAGGGGCACAGGUACAGAUCCUCAGGAGAGGAGCCCCAUGGGAUUGAGCUGAAGCAGAAGGGGGAAGCCAGACUGCUCUUGUCACAGCAACAAUGAAUUGACAUCUCAGCUUUAUGACUCCCUUAUAAAUACCUACUUUAGAAUUCUAAGUGUGUCUCUGUGGCAAAAUAGCCUGGCACAUGCCCUGCUGUGUGUCCACAGGCUGAGAGACAGAGUAAUAGUGGGCAUAUGCUAUGAUGUACAGGAGGAGAAGUUUUCCUUUCCAAGAGCAGAGCCCAGACUCACUCAUGAUCCAUAUUUUUCUCAGCUGUGCUUAGACACAAGGUCUUGUCCCUCUGUUGGACAGACCCUGCCAUGUCAUCCUCUCUGAUUUGCCUUUUUCUAAUUCAGCAGCCUUUACACUCUGCAUGGACAAUGACUUGUCUGGACUGUCAUCUAUACGUGAAGCCAAGUGUCCACAGAGAUGGGGACCUGGUAGUGGGUAGGUUUUUCCCACUUUAUGUCAUGAGCCAGAAAGCAGACAUAUUCCAGCACUCUUUCAUGCUCAGGCCAGAAGUCUUAUCCAACAAGUAAGUACUUAUUUGUACAUGUAUAUGUGUGUGUAUGUGUUUCAUUCCCAUAAAAUGAUCUAAGGUGUGCACAGAAAUGGCAGAAAUGCAGACCAAUGGGAUGCUGAAUAAACUAUCCUUUCUUUGUCUCUAUAUUCCCAUAAAAAUGUUCCCUUCACUCUUUUCAAGACAUAGCAGAGGAUUAUGAAUCUUUCAUGUCCACUCCAUGGGUCUGAUAUCCAUGAUCAAUCCCUGCAAGUCUGAGAAUUAGUGAGACUUCUCAACCCCAGUCCCUGCUAUUGUCAGGACCCUUAGACUAAGGCACACAAUCCGUUUGAUACACUAAUCCCCAUGGCCUGAAGUCACUCUUAGGAGGAAUUGGCUCAGCCUGGAUGCUCACUCCUGACAAAAGCAUUGUUGAAAUUCCACCCCCAGAGUGUACCUAAGUGCCUUGGACACCAUCCUAAGAAAAUGAGGCCCCCUAAAUUAAAGACCAUUAAUUUAAUCCCAUCACAAAUGAGGUUAUUUAGUCCAUUAUCCUGGAAGACAAAAGAAGAAAGGUAGGUCAUAUCUCAGAAAAGGUUAAAGCCCUUCAUUUUUAUCUGAAUCAUUGAAUUCUCCAGGAAAAAUGAGGAACAACGCCUUAAAAUCUAGACUUUAUCCAAAAGUGUGGCAUGCGUGUCUCGGUGUUACAGUGAUGAUUCGCCAUGAGGGGUUUCCACAAAAAGCCUGUGUUCCCUUCAUGAUUUUUUGGUUGAAGGUUUUGCUAUUUCUUCCACAACAUUGAUUGACAUGUCCAUAUCCUCAGAAGAGUGAGGAGAUGUUUAGAAGCUACGCACUUUUUUUUCAUGAGGUGGACAAGACAGGUUUAGGGAGGCAGGAAGGAACCUCUCUGAUUUCAGGUACUGUGUAGGGAAAGAGAAGACCUGUUUUGUCCAUGGGGUCAGUGUGGAGGAUCGUCAGUCUUUAGUAGUGUCACAAGUCUGGAGGUCAAACACUGCAUUUUUCCUUCUGUACUGCCACCAGAGAACUUUCUGCCCAUCUCCAUUCUAGGCAGGAGAGCUGCAGGCACAAUGUAAAAUUCUAGGAUAUAUUUCUUAACUCUGUGGGUUACUACAUGGGAAUAUAUACCAUCAACUCGAUGUUGUAGACUGCUUCUCAUAUACAAUAAUUUACUACGGAUAGAAUUUAAUAUAAGCAAAUGUACACAUAUUAUUGUUUAAUGUAUAAAACUGUCAAUUCAUAUAGAUAUAUAAAUAUUUUAUUUAGAUAAGGUCACUAAUUUUGUGUGAUGGCAUAUAAUAAUGAUCAAUUCUUAGCAAGCAUGGAGCAUUUCUCUGUUUUAGAUAAUUGUAAAAUUGUUGGAUCAAGACAUAUGCACAUUCAUACAGCUUUUGCUAUAUGAGGCCAAGCACCUUCUGGGUUCUGAGCACUUCGCAAUGCAGCCUAUAGGGAGAGGGAGCAGUUUCCUUUUCCUACUUUCUUGCCAAACUGAAUAUUCAUUCUACUUUUGCAUCACUCCAAGGUACAAAUAUAAGGCCAUUAUUUUAAUGUGUACCUCUACUAAUUAUCAAGAUUGAUGUCUGUAGUGUUUAAACAUUGUACAUAUUUGCAAAGGUGUGUGUAUGGUCAUAGCCUUUAUUUUUAACAAUAUUUCUACUGGGGUUGGGUUAUGCAUUCAUAAUAUUUUAUGUAAUAAUUAUCUGACCCUGUUGUCACAGAUUUAACAGUUAUUUGUACCUAGUUCCUGUUUUGCCACUUAAUAGUCUAAUGGUGUGGAGACUUAUAAAAUGCUCAUAUUUGUGUAGUUAAAUCUUUUAUUUUUGCACAUUGUAUUCCUGUUCCAUCUAAUUCAAGCAUAUAUGGCUAUGUUUCCACAUUGAAUUUUCAAUAUAAUGCUUUAAUGAGAUAUAAUUAAUCAUAAAUUGAAUUUCUUAGUGUACAUCAAUUGCUUUUUUUUAUUCACAGGGUGACACAACUUUCACUACUAAUUUUAGAAUAUUUGUAUCACCCCAAAAUGAAAUUCCAUACUCCUAUCAGUUUCUUCUCAUUUUUCUCUCCUUCUAUCCUAACCCAAUAACUUACUAACUCUAUGAAUUUUCCUAUUUGGGAGAUUUCAUAUGAAUAGGAUUAUAUAGUAUGUGGCCAUUUGUGAGCUGUUUCUUUUACUUCAUGAUUAUCUUUAAGCAUGCUCUACUCACUGCUGAAACUGGGGUGUUGACAUUUCCUACUGUUACUGAAUUUUGGUCUACUUCCCCCUUCUGAUCUGUUAGUAUUUCCUUAGUAUAUUGAGAUACUCUGCGAAGUAGGAUGUAACUACUAAGUUUUUAGUAGAAGAGCUUUAUCAAGUUGAAGCAUUCCCUCUUCUCAUAGUUAGCUGUUAUUUCAUUCAUAAAGGAUUGUAGAUUAUUUGCUACAUGUUUAUUGGUAUGUAUUGAGAUGAUCAUGUGUUUUUCCUUCUUUGGCUAAUAUGGUAAAUUAGAUUGAUUUUUCAAUGUAAGGAAAAUCUUGACUUUCUAGGGUUUUUUGUCCUCUUUCACUGAUAAAUUUUUACACUUCCACAUUUUCUUUUAAAUAAAUAUUUCCUGCUUUUAUGAGCUAUCAUUGACAUACAGCCCUAAGUUAAAAUGUGCGGCAGAAUUAUACGACAUAUACAAAUACAUAUCAUGAAAUGAUUACAACAAUGAAUUUAACGUUCAUCUCAUAUUGUUACAAAUAUUUUUUCUUAAGAUGAGGAUUCUUAUGAUUUUUCUCCCUUAACAACAUGCACAUAGGUCUUUCAGUGUUAAUUAUGGUGUUCAUGUUAUACGUUAUAUAUUUCAUACUCAUUGGUUCAUAUAAGUUUGUACUUUUUGACAGCCUUCAUCCCCUUUUCCUCCCUCCAAUUACCUGGCUCUGGUAACCAAAAAUAUGACCUUUAUUUUCUCUUAGUUUACUUGUGUUUAUCUUUUGAUUCCACAUAUAAAUGAUAUCAUACAAUAUUUUCUCUUUGUAUUUUGUUCCUCUGACUUACUUGACUUAGCAUAAUGCCUUCACUGGGCAUCCAUGCUGUUGGAAAUAGAGACCUUUCUCUUUUUUUAUGGCUCAGUAGUCUAACAUUAUGUGUGUGUGCACACGUGUGUGUGUGCGUGCGUGUGUGUGUGUGUGUGUGUGUGUGUGUAAGCUCUGAUUUGCUAAGAUAAGAGACCAUAAACCUGGACAGUGAAUGAUCCUAAAUUUUCCCUUGCUGCUGAUGGGACUUCGAGUUUUAUGUGGACCAUAUGGUGCAUGGACUCAGACAAACAUCAAUUUACAAACUCAAUUUUGUUGUUACUGAUGUGACAAAAAGUCACAGCUAGCCUGAGUCCAUAGAGAUUUAGCUUCUGGGAGGUAUAUGGGAAAACUUGAGAAAGGCUAAUCUGAGGAGUCAAGAAGGAAUGUCACUAAAUUGUUGCAUUAGGAUGCAUGGACAUAGCCUUACCAAUUAAUGGUGUGGUGCACCAUGAUAAUGGAUAAAAUAUCUACAUUCCAUGCAUGCUGACUUUGACUGAGGCAUUGCACGAAGGGAAAGAAAAUAUGUAUUCAGAGUAAGUGUCUAUCUCUAAAAAAUACCUCUCCUUCAUGGACCAAAUUAGUUUAUUUAUUUUUUAUUAAAGUAUAGUUGAUUUACACUGUUUCUUGAAUUUCUGUUGUAUAUCAAAGUGACCUAAUCAUACAGUGUUCCCUGUGCUGUACAAAGGGACCCCACUGCCCAUCCAUUCCAAAUCUAAAAGUUUGUAUCCAUCAACCCCAAACUGUCUGUCCAACCCACUCCCUUCCCCCUCCCUCCUAGCAUCCACACCUCUGCUCUGCACAGCUGUGAUAUGUUUCUGUUUUGUAGAUGGGAUCAUCUGUGCCAUAUUUUAGAUUCUGCAAAUAACUGGAUAUCAUAUGGUAUUUGUUUUUCUCUUUCUGACUUAGUAUGAGAAUCUCUAGUUCCAUCCUAUGUUGCUGCAAAUGGCAUUAUUUUGUCCUUUUUAUGGUUGAGUAAUAUUUCAUUGUAUAAAUGUGCCACAUCUUAGUCCAUUCAUCUGUUGAGGGAAAUUUAGGUUGUUUCCAGGUCUCAGCUAUGGUGAAUAGUGCUGUGAUGAUCAUAGGGGUGUGUGGAACUUUUUGAAAGAAUGUUUUGUAUGGGUACAUACCCAGGAGUGAGAUUGCUGGAUCAUAUGUUAGUUCUAUAUUUAGAUUUCUGAGGUAUGGCUAUACUGUUUUCCCUAGGGAUUAUACCAUUUAUAUUCCCACCAAUAGUGAAGGAGGGUACCCUUUUCUCCACAUCUCCCCCAGCAUUUUUGCUAAAGUCUCCUACUAUGACUGUAUUCCCAUCAAUUUCUCCUUUUGUGUCUGUUAGUAUUUGUUGUAUGUAUCUGGGUGCUCCUAUAUUAGGGGUAUAUAUAUUGAUGAUUGUAAUAGCCUCUUCUUGAAUGGAUCCUUUAACCAUUAAAUAGUGUCCUUCUUUGUCUUUCUUUAUGGCCUUCGUUUUAAAGUCUGUUUUGUCUGAUAUGAGUAGUGCAACUCCUGUUUUUCUGUCUUGUCCACUGGCAUAAAAUAUCUUUUCCCAUCCCCUCACGUUCAGUCUAUAUGUGUCCUUUGCCCUAAGGUGAGUUUCUUGUAGACAGCAUAUUGAAGAUUUUUGCUUUUUUAUCCAAUCUGCCACUCUGUGUCUUUUGAUUGGAAUAUUCAGUCCAUUGACAUUUAAGGUGAUAAUUGAUAGAUAUGUAUUUAUUGCCAUUUUAAACCUUGUUUUCCAGUUGAUUCUGUUUCUAUCUUUUUUUGGUUGAACUCCCUGGUUUCCAUUUUUUUUAUGCCCAAGUACUUUUCUUUUCAGUUUUUGUGAAUCGGGAGCAGCCCAGGAAAUAGCAAAG
rnacentral:lncRNA from 1 species